CGCAGCCGCGGUAAUUCCAGUUCCAAUAGCGUAUAUUAAAGUUGUUGCAGUUAAAAGCUCGUAGUUGAACUUCGGGGUCUACCCAUUGGUCAGGCUUAAUUGUCUGCACUGGUGAGAUGGAUCUCUACCUUCUGAGGAACUUUCAUGCCAUUUAUUGGUGUGAUGGGAAAUCAGG
rnacentral:misc_RNA from 1 species